AGCAGGUUACCUUGUGUGAGUAGCUGCAGGUUUCUGACUUCUUCCCGCACCUUCAGCUGGAGCACCUGCUGCAGGACGUGCUGGCGCUGGUUCUCCUGGAGGAUCCCCAUGCGUUCCAGCUUCUUGUCUCCUUGGCUGCCACACCUGUGGAUCUUUUAUCAUUUCUAUCAAGAGGAAGAGACAGAAGCCGCUGCCUGUGAUCAAUGCCAAGUCUGUAAAGUAAAGUUUUAUGUCGACGCUGGAGACUGUGAGAAGCCCGCACCCACGUCUUGGG